rnacentral:rRNA from 1 species
UAUUGUAAUUGUUUAAUCUUAGCAAAGUUCGAACGUUAUCUGGUAGUUUUACUCAUGCAAGUCAUAUAUAUAUACGUAUAUAUGGCGCGCAGGCGAGGAAUACAAAGAAUAGAUGCCUUGAUAUUUUGAUAGAUUCAUUCUUUGUUUUGUAGGUAGUUGGUACGAUAGUGGCGUACCAAGCCGGUGACAAAUAGGAAAGAGCGAAAGCUUCUAUUCCCGCAAUUGGUUUUAAUAAACCGAUCGAUCAGUUGUCUGAUUGCUGCAGAGGAGAAUCUUGGGCAAUGCUCGAAAGAGUGACCCAGCUAACCAGAACUCGAAGUAUAGUAGAGUGUGGUAAGGGAGGAUAAUGACGUUACCUUACUAUUAGUCCAAUCUAAGUCUCGUGCCAGCAGACGCGGUUAUACGAACUGGGCGAACGUUGAAUGAAUAAAUAGGUUUUAAGGAUCUGUAGGCGGCAAUGAAAAGAAAUAGAUUUUUCUUUUCAUAGCUAGAAUUCAAUAGAGGAAAAUAGAACGUUAAGAGUAGAGAUGAUAUUUGUUGAUACUUAACGGAAUACUAAAGGCGAAAGCAAUUUUCCAGGUAAGAAUUGACGCUGAGAGAUGAAAGUUUGGGGAGCGAAACAGAUUAGCUACCUGAGUAGUCCAAACCGUAAACUAUUUACACUGACCCUUUGGUUCAUAGUAAUAUGAGAAAAUAAUCAGAGGGAAAGCGAAAGGCUGUAUGUGUAACACCUUGUUAGUAAUGCCGCAAGGUUGAAAGCAAAAAGAUUAGACCAUCCUUAAGAACCGGUGUGGAGCAUGUUGUUUAAUACGAAAAUACGCGUAAAACCUUACCUCUCCUUGUAUAUCUUAGUAUCGUCAUUUUUUUCUAAAAAUGAUAAAUAAGAUACAGGCGUUGCAUGGCUGUCGUCAGUUCGUGUCGUAAGAUGUUAGGUUCAGUCCGCUAACGAACGCAAUCCAUGGAAGGAAUCAAUUCUUUCUUCUAUCAACUUGAUAAAAGUGAUAUGAUGGAUUACGAUAAGUCGUCAUGACCCUUAUGGAGUAUGGGCUACAGACGUGCUACUAAAAUCUAACAAUAAGAGGCAAAAUCGUAAGAUUGAGCAAAUCUAUGAAAUAAGAUUCGAUAAGGAUUGUGGACUGAAAUUCGUCCACAUGAAUCAGGAAUACCGAGUAAUCGUUUAUUAGUAUGAAACGGUGAACCACUCAUUAGGGAGAUACUAACUGUCUAUCACAUCUUGGUUUUGUUUGACUACGGAACUCGGAAUGUCAAUGAAGAGGACGUUUAGAAUAGAACUGAGGUGAAGUUAUAGCAAGGUAGCCGUAAGGGAACUUGCGGCUGAAUUAUAAUUUAU